rnacentral:lncRNA from 1 species
UUAUACCAAACACAGAGUACAAGCAAAAGACAUUAAAUAAUUUCACAACAAGAAAGGCAAAACGCUAAGGAAAUGGGGCCUAAAGGUGACACAAAAAGUGUGCCCACAAUGAAUGAAUAAGGAGGGGGGAAGUUGAUUUUUGCAGUAAGAGCUUUGAUUCUUUGCAGCAAAUACAAAGCCAAAGCCCCACCCCCCCACACUCUGAUGCUG